rnacentral:rRNA from 1 species
AUUUAAGCUACGAAGAGCAUGCGGUGAAUGCCUAGGGAUGAGUUGCCGAUGAAGGACGCGUAAGCAGCGAAAUGCUGCGGGGAGCUGCACAAUAGCUUUGAUCCGCAGGUGUCCGAAUGGGGAAACCCGGCUGGAGUAAUGUCUGGUCACUCACAUCUGAAUACAUAGGGUGUGAAGAGGGAACCUGGUGAACUGAAACAUCUAAGUAACCAGAGGAAAAGAAAUCGAAGAGACUCCGUAAGUAGCGGCGAGCGAAAGCGGAAGAGCCUAAACCGGUUGGCUUGCCAGCCGGGGUUGUGGGGCAUCCACUAACUCCCUCAAUUCAAGCCUUCGGGUUUGUGUUGGUGGAGUUAGAAACGAGUAUCGAACAGAGUUAGAAGAACAGGAUUGGAAAGUCCGGCCAUAGAGGGUGAUAGCCCCGUAUUUUGAAAACUCAAUCGAAUUCAGGAUGUACCCGAGUAGCGCGGAGCACGAGGAACCCCGCGUGAAUCUGUCCAGACCACUGGAUAAGGCUAAGUACGACUCAUCACCGAUAGUGCAUCCAGUACCGUGAGGGAAAGGUGAAAAGAACCCCGGGAGGGGAGUGAAAUAGAACCUGAAACCGCAUUGCUUACAAACAGUCAGAGCCCUAUGGCGCUUGCGCCCAGGGUGAUGGCGUACCUUUUGCAGAAUGAGUCUGCGAGUUACUAGGACGGGCAAGGUUAAGACUCUAAGAGUUGAAGCCGGAGGGAAACCGAGUCUGAAUAGGGCAUCAAGUCCGUCUUAGUAGACCCGAAACUGUGUGAUCUAGCCAUGGCCAGGUUGAAGUGUUGGUAACACAACAUGGAGGACCGAACUCAUUGACGUUGAAAAGUCUCGGGAUGAGCUGUGGUUAGUCCGGUGAAAUGCCAAUCGAACACAGAGAUAGCUGGUUCUCCCCGAAAUGUAUUGAGGUACAGCGUUACGUGUUUCGUUUAGGGGGUAGAGCACUGAAAGGGCUAGGGGGCUUACCAGCUUACUGAACCCUAUCAAACUCCGAAUACCUAAACGUGAAGCGUAGCAGUGAGACUGCGAGGGAUAAGCCCCGUGGUCAAAAGGGAAAUAGCCCAGAUCGACAGCUAAGGGCCCUAAUCAUAAGUUAAGUGUGAAACGAUGUGAGAUCGCAUAAACAGCCAGGAGGUUGGCUUGGAAGCAGCCAUCCUUUAAAAAGUGCGUAAUAGCUUACUGGCCGAAUGUGAUCUUGCGCGGAAAAUGUAUGGGGGCUAAAACUUAUACCCGAAGCUUCGGGAUCCCGCAAGAGCGGUGAUCGGUAGGGGAGCGUCGUAAGUGCAGUGAAGCUUGAGCGUAAGCACAGGUGGAGCGCUUUCGAGUGAGAAUGCAGACAUUAGUAGCGAUAAGACAGGUGAGAAUCCUGUCCGCCAAAAACCUAAGGUUUCUCCGGCUAUGUUCGUCAGACGGAGGUUAGGCGGUCCCUAAGGCGAGGCCAGAAGGCGUAGCCGAUGGACAUCGGGUAGAUAUUCCCGACCUUGGUAAUUGAGUGAUGGAGGGACGUUUCCACAAAACCCAUCCCGCACCGUUGGUUGUUGCGGGCUAGGCCGAUAUCCUAUUCAUUUAAUAGAUGAUAACGUGGAAGGGGCCGGGGAACGGCGGUCUUCGGACCAAAGGAACUGGGUGGCGUGGGGGCCGAGAAAAGCUUCUAAACUUAUCAAUUAUCAAACCGUACCGUAAACCGACACAGGUAGGUGAGUCGAGGAGACUAAGGCGUUCGGAAGAACUCUCGUUAAGGAACUAGGCAAAUUGACCCCGUAACUUUGGAAGAAGGGGUGCCCCGCAAGGGGCCGCAGCUAAGCAGCCCGGUCGACUGUUUACCAAAAACACAGGUCUCUGCUAACACGUAAGUGGAUGUAUAGGGGCUGACGCCUGCCCAAUGCUGGUAGAUUAACAGGAGAUGUUAGGAGCAAUCCGAAGCAUUGAAUCGAAGUCCCAGUGAAUGGCGGCCGUAACUCUAACGGUCCUAAGGUAGCGAAAUUCCUUGUCGGCUAAAUACCGACCCGCAUGAAAGGCGUAACGAAUUGGGCACUGUCUCAACGAGAAAUCCGGUGAAGUUGUAGCACCCGUGAAGAUGCGGGUUCCGCGCAGUAGGACGGAAAGACCCCGUGGAGCUUUACUACAGCUUCAGAUUGGGAGCUGGAUGUACAUGUAGAGCGUAGGUGGGAGCUUCGGCACCAAUGGAACACCACCCUUGUACUUCUGGUUUCCUAACCGGACCCAUUAUCUGGGUUCGAGACAGUCUGUGGCAGGUAGUUUGACUGGGGCGGUCGCCUCCCAAAGUGUAACGGAGGCGUACAAAGCUGCACUCAGCCUGGUUGGAAAUCAGGCGUCGAGCGUAUAGGUAUAUAGUGCGGUUGACAGUGAGACACACAGGUCGAGCUGGGACGAAAGUCGGUCUAAGUGACCCUCUGAUGGUGCGUGGGCACGUCAGGGUUCAACGGAUAAAAGCUACCCCGGGGAUAACAGGCUGAUCUUGCCCGAGCGCUCAUAGCGACGGCAUGGUUUGGCACCUCGAUGUCGGCUCGUCGCAUCCUGGGGCUGUACAAGGUCCCAAGGGUUCCGGAGUUCACGGAUUAAAGCGGCACGCGAGCUGGGUUCAGAACGGCGUGAGCCAGUUCGGUCCCUAUCCA